GACGAACGCUGGCGGCGUGCUUAACACAUGCAAGUCGAACGAAGAGCGAUGGAAGCUUGCUUCUAUCAAUCUUAGUGGCGAACGGGUGAGUAACGCGUAAUCAACCUGCCCUUCAGAGGGGGACAACAGUUGGAAACGACUGCUAAUACCGCAUACGAUCUAAUCUCGGCAUCGAGGAUAGAUGAAAGGUGGCCUCUACAUGUAAGCUAUCACUGAAGGAGGGGAUUGCGUCUGAUUAGCUAGUUGGAGGGGUAACGGCCCACCAAGGCGAUGAUCAGUAGCCGGUCUGAGAGGAUGAACGGCCACAUUGGGACUGAGACACGGCCCAGACUUCCUACGGGAGGCAGCAGUGGGGAAUCUUCCGCAAUGGACGAAAGUCUGACGGAGCAACGCCGCGUGAGUGAUGACCGGCUCCGGGUUGUAAAGCUCUGUUAAUCGGGACGAAAGGCCUUCUUGCGAAUAGUUAGAAGGAUUG
rnacentral:rRNA from 1 species